GAAGCGCAGCGCACCAUCCACCGAGGCAAGCGCUGAAUGAAAAAAUUCAAACGUUUGGCAUUAAAUGUCAUAUUGACAUAUCAAUAUAUUGGAUUCUUUUUUUUCCUGAUCCGCCAGCACACGGAAAGCUUUCGGUUACAGUACCCUACCAUCCAUCCCCCCGAACCGAACCAGCAACGGUGCUGCAGCAGUUCGAUUCAGCCAGCCAGUUCAAGGGAUUGGCGCUCCGAUCCCGGUCACGAUUGGCCCCUUGUUCGCUCGAUCGGAACUCUCCAAUUCGGUCGUAAUUCAAUAUUUUAUUUAACUUGGCUGUGCGGACAUUCAGUUUUAUUGGAUUGUAAAUUUGCGAGUGAGAGUAAAUUUUGUGACAGUUUUUUGUUUUUGGUUCCAAAGUGUGCGAAGGGGGUUGGUUGAAGAGCGUAAAUUAAAGCUUCACUUCCGGGGUGUCGGUGAUUUUGGCAGCAUUGUUGGCAGCAAGGAGCGAUACAGCAGCAGCAGAGGGACCCAAUCAAGGCAAACAAUAGCUGGUACGGCAGCGACGGCGGCGGAGGCGAGAGAAUGAUGGAUCAUGCGACAAUUUCCAAAUAUACGGACAUGCGAGUGAAAAUUUCCGGCUGGGACGAACGGGUGCAGCAGUUCCCGAAGGAUUGUCCUUGCUGCUCGGUGGGGCGUGCCACUUAUCGCACCUUCGGCUACACAACGAAGCAUUUCAUUCCGAAAACCACCACCCAGGCCAUGUACGAGGACGUCUGGAACGAUCUGUGCCCGCACCGAAGGAGGACCCGUUUCGAGGACUGCGAAGUUUAUCGUUCGACGUACCAGACCGAUUUCGGCAAUCGGUUCCCCAUGGUGUACUAAUCGGUCCCGAUGGGUAUCCCUUCUGCCGUCAUUCCCAAAGUAGUGAUAACGCUUAGAGAGAUAAUGUUGAUUAAUGAGACGGUGGCUGCUGACCAGUCUCACGUUCCUGUCUCGGUCAUCCCAAAAUCACACAACCCAGUGCACCACCACACCACCAGAGAUCAUAAUCAGUUCGGAAAUCCCUUCUGCUUCCUGAUGCGACUCGGCUGUUCCGGAGAGUAGUAGUGGACACGUGUGCGGUCAACCGAAAAAGUGAACUCCGCCGGUGCCGACUAAAUCUACCGAUGAUGAUUAUUUACGAUGGCGAAAUGGAAACAUCCGGUUGGUCCGGUUGGUUGGACAGAUGCAGAACCACAGGGUGCGGCGCGUAGCCUUGGAGUGGACAAUUUAUUGCCGGAAUUAGGCGAACCGAUGCCGAAUCAAGUGGUGAUAGUGUGGUGUUGUGGCGUGUGUCUCAUGUUCCUAAAUUCCGAAUAAAGCCAAAUUGAGUAGAGUGAUUUCGCGCGAAGAACGGA